rnacentral:tRNA from 1 species
GCUUUCGUAGCCCAACCGGUAGAGGCAACGGCCCAAGGAGCCGUCAAGUCCGGGUCCGAAUCCCGGCGAGAGCACGA